GACGAACGCUGGCGGCGCGCUUAACACAUGCAAGUCGAGCGAGAUCCAGGCCUUCGGGCUUGGGGACAGCGGCGAACGGGUGAGUAACACGUGGGUAAUCAACCCUCGACACUGGGAUAGCCCGGGGAAACCCGGAUUAAUACCGGAUGGCCCUUUGGAUCCUCGGAUCUGAAGGAAAAGGUAGCUUCGGCCUCCGGUCGAGGACGAGCCCGCGGCGGAUUAGGUUGUUGGUGAGGUAACGGCUCACCAAGGCGACGAUCCGUAGCUGGUCUGAGAGGACGAUCAGCCAACCUGGGACUGAGCCACGGCCCAGACUCCUACGGGAGGCAGCAGUGGGGAAUCUUGCGCUAAUGCGGGAAACCGUGACGCAGCGACGCCGCGUGAGGGAAGAAGGCCUUCGGGUUGUAAACCUCUUUCAGGAGGGACGAAGCCACUCGGGUGAAUAGCCCAGAGGGUGACGGUACCUCCAGAAGAAGCCCCGGCUAACUACGUGCCAGCAGCCGCGGUAAAAC
rnacentral:rRNA from 1 species